GGCGCCAUCGUCUAGAGGCCCAGGACGCCGCCCUUUCAAGGCGGAGAUCGCGGGUUCGAAUCCCGCUGGCGCUACCA
rnacentral:tRNA from 3 species